rnacentral:rRNA from 1 species
GACGAACGCUGGCGGCGUGCCUAAUACAUGCAAGUAGGACGUAGUUGCGAACGGGUGAGUAACGCGUAGGUAACUACCUGUUAGAGGGGGAUAACUAUUGGAAACGAUAGCUAAUACCGCAUACUAAUAGAUGGACCUGCGUUGUAUUGGCUAGUAGGUCGGGUAAUGGCCUACCUAGGCAACGAUACAGAACCGACUCGGGAGGGUGAUCCGCCCAACUGGGACCGGGAACAGGCCCAGACUCCCUCGGGGGGCAGCAGUAGGGAAUUUUUGGAAAUGGGGGGCACCCUGACCGAGCAACGCCGCGGUGGUGAAGAAGGUUUUCGGAUUGUAAAGCUCUGUUGUUAAGGAAGCGGUACUUAAACAGAAAGGGACGGCUAACUACGUGCCAGCAGCCGCGGUAAUUC